rnacentral:rRNA from 1 species
AAAGUUGAAAAGAACUUUGGAGAGAGAGUUAAAAGGACGUGAAACCGUUUGGAAGGAAGCAGAUAGAGCUGAUGGCAGUGCAGGCAAUUCAGGCUGCUCAGCUUGGCUGGCCCUGGUGGUUUUGGAUCUUUGUGGACCAUGCCACUGGGUGUCUCAGCCAUCUGGUGGCUGCACUUUGCCUGCAUGUGCAUUGGAACAUGUGCUGGGGCAGUGCUGCCUGGGCAGCUGGUUGUGCCAGGGCAACCUGGAAACACACUGUCCAUGUGCAGCACUCUGUCUCUGGUACAUGGCAACCCUGAGCAUCGGCUGUGCGCAGACUGUGCUUCUGCCAGACUGGCAUCAUCCAGUGUGCUUGCGCACAAGUGGUGUCUGUCUGUGCAUGUGGUGCAGCUCUGCCUACUGGUGCAUUCCAGUGAAACCGUUGGUGUCCUAUCUGACCCGUCUUGAAACACGGACCAAGGAGUCUAACAUGUGCGCGAGUUGAAGGGUGGCAAACCCAUGGGCACAAUGAAAGUGAAGCUGGCUUUGUGUCAGUGAUACGGGACCUGUGGCCCUGCAUACAGGCUGCAGAGCACCGUAGUCCCUUCCAGAUUGCUUGCCAAUCGGGAGGAGACAGAGCGUACACGUUGGGACCCGAAAGAUGGUGAACUAUGCGUGAGCAGGGCGAAGUCAGAGGAAACUCUGAUGGAGGCUCGAAACGGUUCUGACGUGCAAAUCGAUCGUCAGACUUGCGUAUAGGGGCGAAAGACUAAUCGAACUAUC